AUGAGCGUGGUUGGGUUUGAUUUGGGCAACGAGAGCUGCAUUGUGGGGGUGGCACGGCAGCGUGGCAUCGACGUGGUUCUCAAUGAGGAAUCCAAACGGGAGACCCCUGCCAUCGUCUGCUUUGGUGACAAGCAGCGCUUCAUCGGCACUGCAGGCGCUGCCAACUCCACCAUGAACCCAAAGAACUCCAUCUCACAGAUCAAGCGCUUGCUGGGCCGCAAGUUUGCUGAUCCUGAACUGCAGCGCGAUCUGCAGUCAUUCCCUUUCCGUGUCUCGGAGGGCCCCGACGGGUUCCCACUCGUGCACGCCCGGUAUCUGGGGGAGGAGCAUGCUUUCACCCCCACGCAGCUGCUUGCCAUGGUGCUGUCUAAUCUGAAGGCCAUUGCUGAGGAUAACCUGAAGUCCGCUGUUGUUGAUUGCUGCAUUGGUAUACCGGUGUAUUUCACUGACCUGCAGCGUAGGUCUGUUCUUGAUGCUGCCACUAUCGCUGGUCUCCGGCCGUUGCGUCUGUUCCAUGAGACCACUGCUACUGCAUUGGCAUAUGGCAUCUAUAAGACCGAUCUCCCUGAGAAUGAUCAGCUGAACGUCGCAUUUGUUGAUGUCGGGCAUGCCAGCAUGCAGGUAAGCAUUGUCGGGUACAAGAAGGGGCAGCUGAAGAUGCUGUCCCACGCAUAUGACCGGUCUCUUGGUGGAAGAGACUUUGAUGAAGCCCUGUUUAAGCACUUUGCGGCAAAAUUUAAAGAGGAGUAUAAGAUUGAUGUCUACCAGAAUGCCCGCGCGUGCAUUAGGUUGCGUGUGGCCUGUGAGAAGCUCAAGAAGAUGCUGAGCGCCAAUCCGGAGGCACCGAUGAAUAUUGAGUGCUUGAUGGAUGAGAAGGAUGUGCGAGGCUUCAUCAAGAGGGAUGAAUUUGAACAAAUCAGUGCCCCAGUACUAGAACGUGUGAAAGGGCCACUGGAGAAGGCCUUGGCCGAAGCUGGCUUGACAACUGAAAGUGUGCACUUUGUUGAGGUUGUUGGAUCAGGUUCUCGUGUCCCUGCUAUAAUUAGGAUUAUCACUGAAUUCUUUGGAAAGGAACCUCGGAGAACUAUGAAUGCAAGUGAAUGUGUUGCCCGGGGAUGCGCUCUUCAGUGUGCUAUACUUAGUCCCACGUUCAAAGUGCGGGAGUUCCAGGUUAAUGAAGGUUUUCCUUUUUCAAUCGCUUUAUCAUGGAAACCAGAUUCCCAGAACAAUGAGCCCCAACAAACAGUGGUAUUUCCAAAGGGGAACCCUAUCCCGAGCGUCAAAGCUCUGACCUUCUAUAGGUCCAAUACAUUUGCAGUGGAUGUUCUGAAUGUCGAAACGGAAGAUUCGCAAGUAACACAAAAAAUUAGCACAUACACGAUCGGCCCUUUCCAAUCCAGCAAAGGUGAGAAGGCAAAGCUGAAAGUGAAAGUUCGUCUCAACAUUCAUGGAAUAGUCUCUCUUGAAUCAGCGACGAUGCUGGAGGAGGAGGAAGUGGAAGUUCCAGUUUCAGCUACAAGUGAGGUGCCAAAGGAUGCUAACAAAAUGGAGACAGAUGCCACUGAUGUCAAUAUGCAGGAGCCUAAAGGUACUACAGACACUGCUGAGGGUGCUACUGGAGAUGGGGCACAAGAUUCUGAGGAAAAAUCUGCUCCUAUGGAUACUGAUGCCAAGACUGAGCCAUCAAAAAAGGAAGUCAAGAAAACUAAUGUCCCAGUUGCGGAAUUGGUGUAUGGUGCAAUGGGGUCUGCUGAGUUGGAGAAAGCUGUUGAGAAGGAGUAUGAGAUGGCUCUUCAAGACAGAGUUAUGGAAGAAACCAAAGAGAAAAAGAAUUCCGUGGAGGCCUAUGUUUAUGACAUGCGUAACAAGCUUUAUGAGAAGUACUCUGAUUAUGUUACAUGGGAGGACAAAGAAACUUUGACGGCUAAGCUUCAGGAGGUUGAGGAUUGGCUGUACGAAGAUGGCGAGGAUGAGACCAAGGGAGUCUAUGUUGCAAAACUGGAAGAACUUAAAAAGGUUGGUGGCCCUAUCGAGGCGCGCUACAGAGAGUGGGAAGAAAGAGGUCCUGCUAUUGAGCAACUAGCGUACUGCAUCCGCAGUUUCAGGGAGGCUGCAUUGUCUAGUGACCCAAAGUUUGAGCAUAUCGACAUAUCGGAGAAACAGAAGGUUGUUAAUGAGUGCUCUGGAGCGGAGACUUGGCUGCAUGAGAAAAAACAGCAGCAGGAUGCUUUACCAAAGCAUGCUGACCCUGCUCUCCUUGUUUCCGACAUUAAGAAGAAGGCGGAAGCACUUGACAGAUUUUGCAAAUCGAUCAUGACAAAGCCAAAGCCAGCACCGAAGCCACAGACACCACCCCCGGCCGAAACUUCACCACCAGAGGCUCAAACACCAGAGCAGCAGCCAGAUGGUGCCACUGAAGCUAGUGAGCCGGCCAGUGAGGGAGGUGCGUGGGAGCAGCCUGCAGCCGAGCAGAUGGACACCGACGAACCUGAUCCUAACUCGGCAUAG
rnacentral:rRNA from 1 species